CCACACUGGGNAYUGAGACACGGCCCNAGAYUCCUACGGGAGGCAGCAGUAGGGAAUCUUCCGCAAUGGACGAAAGUCUGACGGAGCAACGCCGCGUGAGUGACGAAGGCCUUCGGGUCGUAAAGCUCUGUUGUUAGGGAAGAACAAGUACCGUUCGAAUAGGGCGGUACCUUGACGGUACCUAACCAGAAAGCCACGGCUAACUACGUGCCAGCAGCCGCGGUAAUACGUAGGUGGCAAGCGUUGUCCGGAAUUAUUGGGCGUAAAGCGCGCGCAGGCGGUCUUUUAAGUCUGAUGUGAAAGCCCACGGCUCAACCGUGGAGGGUCAUUGGAAACUGGAGGACUUGAGUGCAGAAGAGGAGAGUGGAAUUCCACGUGUAGCGGUGAAAUGCGUAGAUAUGUGGAGGAACACCAGUGGCGAAGGCGGCUCUCUGGUCUGUAACUGACGCUGAGGCGCGAAAGCGUGGGGAGCAAACAGGAUUAGAUACCCUGGUAGUCCACGCCGUAAACGAUGAGUGCUAGGUGUUGGGGGGUUCCACCCUCAGUGCUGAAGUUAACACAUUAAGCACUCCGCCUGGGGAGUACGACCGCAAGGUUGAAACUCAAAGGAAUUGACGGGGGCCCGCACAAGCAGUGGAGCAUGUGGUUUAAUUCGAAGCAACGCGAAGAACCUUACCAGGUCUUGACAUCCUCUGACAAUCCUGGAGACAGGACGUUCCCCUUCGGGGGACAGAGUGACAGGUGGUGCAUGGUUGUCGUCAGCUCGUGUCGUGAGAUGUUGGGUUAAGUCCCGCAACGAGCGCAACCCUUGAUCUUAGUUGCCAGCAUUUAGUUGGGCACUCUAAGGUGACUGCCGGUGACAAACCGGARGNAAGGUGGGGAUGACGUCAAAUCAU
rnacentral:rRNA from 1 species